CCUACAGUCAUUCUUCCACACAUAAAGGGAAAACGGACUCACUAGGAGGACUUAGACUCUUUCAGCUUGAACUGUUAGCCAAUGGUGGAAAUGCAAGAAUGCUGAAGUUGUGCCUUCGGAGCCAAUAGAGUGGAUUUGUGUGUCCCACAUGACUGUGUUUCCCCUGUCUUUCACAUGGGCAGUAUUUAGUUCAAUUCAGAACUGCAGAUAGUAUAGCGUGCAGAGCAGCAAUGGGAUGUCUGAGCACAAGUGGCUGACUUCCAGGCGACUUCAGGAAGCACAUUUGUAAUAUUUCUCAUGAAUUAAACGGGAUUCUACACUCUUGACAUCCUCUGACCCUCCUUGUCUCUGCAGAAGGAGACAGCGACCUGCACAGCACAGCAAAACUACAAAUCACCGCAGAGCUGCAGACCUGCAAAGGAAGUGAACUGAGGUCAAUUUGACCAACAUCAUCUGUGUCAGCUUGCCAGAGGUUGAUGAAACAUGUUAUCAGAUCUCCAAGCAAUGAAAACUAUUAUCUCCUACAGAAGAAUGAACCUUCCCAUAUUAUGUUGUUUAUUAGCACCACAUUAACAAUGUGCCACCUCAGCCAAAUGGUCAGGCAGCACCAUGGUCCCAGGUACAAGGAAAAGAUCAUUAUGAAAUUCUACCUGCCUCAUUUGCGCAAAUCAAAAGACCACAAACCUCAGAAAAUCGCUGUGUGGAAGAAACACACUGGGCCAACCUAUCAUGUCGACAGUACACAAAGAACAGCCCAGUUUGGUAUUCUUUCUGCUCUGAAGGACUCUCGUGUCAGGAGGAAGGGAAGAAAUAAACCACCACAAAAACAAAACCUGCUUUCCUCAUGGAAGAAUGGUAACUUUGGACAACAUUUGGCACCACAAGUUCAAAGAGCCAUUUCAUCUGCAUUGUAUUUAUGUUUCUUUAGACUACAUAUUUUCCACUUCUUUUUAUUAUAUAAGACUAUGGAGAACCAUAUAUUUUCCAUGGCAAAGGGGCAGCUGAUACCUGAAUAUUAGCAAGCCAGUAUUUGGUGUGACAUGAAUUAAAGUGUCCAAGUAGGAAGGAAUUUCAAGAUUUAGAUCCGAGCAAGAACUCAGAUGAUCACAAUCUGAACUGCAAGCAGAAGCCCAAAAUGAAUUUUGAAGCUACUUUCAAGACCUGUUACCUGAAGAUACAUUAAACUCAUUGAACAGUGACAGAUCAAAAUGGAAGAGCAAGUAAAACAAAACUAGCUAACAAGGGCAAACCAGAGAACAUGUGCAAAAAAAGGGAAUGGAAAACUGAGGCACCUGUCAGAAGCCUAUAACUUGGAUGUCUGUUAAUAGCUUUGUCUUCAGUUAUGUUAUUCAACUGUAAUUACUACAAAGUGUGAGUGGCUACAUAGUUUGAAUAAGCCACAGAUACUUAAACUAAAAGGAUCUUAGGCUACUGCAUAGUCUUCAAAGAUACACUGCAUUAAAUUUAGCACAUUUCUAUGAUACUCUUGCACUCAGAUUUCACUUUUCAGUGAUGGACCAAAAACAUUGGGAUUUUCAGCAAAAAUGCCACUAAUUGUCAAGGGAGGGGAUAUUUCAAAAUUCCUUGGUCCUCUUGAAGAUCCCUGCAUGCAGUUUCAGGGUAACAUACUGGUUUAAAAAAACUCAUAUGUAGUUUCCUAGAAAAUAGUAAAGCACUUACACUAAGUCCUUCUCACUUUGUUUCCUGAUGAGGUCUUAUGCACAGCUAUUCUGAAGCAGAGUGACUUGCACAUGUGUAAAAACACACAUGCUCUUGUCUGCUUAUGUUUGCAACCAUUUUUUUGUAGUGGCAGGACACCCAAUCUGAAGUUGCUUGCCGUAUAGCUCAAUAAUCUUCAUUUGAAAAUGUUAUGGCAUUGCUCAUGUCCUCUUUCUAGAGUGCAGCUCUGUUCUCUUCCACAUUAAAUUAGAUUUCCUGGCAUACACAUAUGCAAACCUUCCCCUCUCCCUUCCUUCCCCUUCCAAAAAAAAAAAAUGUCAACUGUGACCUUCCUUUCUCUUGUAUUCUCAUAUACCAAUAAAAAUAUUAAAUAUAGAAAAAAAGGGAGGGAC
rnacentral:lncRNA from 14 species